GAGGAUAUAGCUCACUGGUAGAGUGCAUGUUCAGCACGUACGGGGUCCUGGGUUCAAUUCCCAGUACCUCCA
rnacentral:tRNA from 1 species